rnacentral:rRNA from 1 species
AGUGAACGCUGGCGGUAGGCCUAACACAUGCAAGUCGGACGGCGGCACAGUAAGAGCUUGCUCUUACGGGUGGCGAGUGGCGGACGGGUGAGGAAUACAUCGGAAUCUACUUUUUCGUGGGGGAUAACGUAGGGAAACUUACGCUAAUACCGCAUACGACCUACGGGUGAAAGCAGGGGAUCUUCGGACCUUGCGCGAUUGAAUGAGCCGAUGUCGGAUUAGCUAGUUGGCGGGGUAAAGGCCCACCAAGGCGACGAUCCGUAGCUGGUCUGAGAGGAUGAUCAGCCACACUGGAACUGAGACACGGUCCAGACUCCUACGGGAGGCAGCAGUGGGGAAUAUUGGACAAUGGGCGCAAGCCUGAUCCAGCCAUACCGCGUGGGUGAAGAAGGCCUUCGGGUUGUAAAGCCCUUUUGUUGGGAAAGAAAAGCAGCAGGUUAAUACCCCGCUGUUCUGACGGUACCCAAAGAAUAAGCACCGGCUAUCUUCGUG